GGUUUGUACAGAAAAGCACAGCAUUUACAGUAAAUAUCAGUUCACAGCUGAAGCUGCCAAUAUCACCUGACACAUAUUCAGGUGACAAUCAGUACAUUCAUGCUUCCUCCUUUAGGAGUUAUUUAAAAGAAUGACUAGUCUCAGAUGGCAAGACAAAAGAAAGCAAACGAGCAGAUGAAAGCACAGUCAGAUAAACAAAGCACAAGUUGGCACGCAAAAGUCAAGACAAAACUAUAAACUACAAGGAAAUCCUUAAAGCUCGUACUUUAGUAUUUUUAGCGACGGCGAAAGGUGAGCUUUGGCUCUCGCUCCCUUUCUCUCACCAACUCCCCGAAAGCACCGGGAGAGGCCUUACGGACGCCGGAUGCCGAGGGGAGCGCAUCGCCCCUCUCACGGCCAGGGCCGGGGAAGGAACACACUCACCUAAGGUGAACUCCCAUUGCUCGUUCCCCAGAGACCGCUCGGGCACCACCUCCAGAUCUAGCAUUGGCUCAGGUUUGGACUGGGACUCCUUCCCACAGGCAGAGCAAGCCAUGACUGGCAGGGGGGAUCAAAGCAUUAAAAAGAAAUCCUAGUCAUGUUUGGGAGCAGGACCUUGGCCAGGCUCGACUCUGAUCACAUUUCUCAGCAUCUCUCUUCAGGUCACAGAGCUGUCAAAACUCUGAGGUUUGAUCAAAAUCAAAGCGGGCAGAUGUUGGCUGAGAAGAGCUGGGCUUUUCAAUCCAUCUGGUUAAAAGAAAGCAGAAAACACAAAAGCCACCAGGAGGGACAACAGCUCCCCGGGGCUCGCAGGCGUGGGAUGCAGCGUGCGCAGAGCGAAGGAGAGCUGCCCUCUCCCGAUCGGAUUCAAGAGCAGCACAGAGCAGGUCUGUGAGGAAAUCUGCCCUGUGGCUGCUCGUAAAAAUGGGUUGGAAGCAGAUCCCAGCCUUGGCAGCGCUGAUUGAGUUGGAAGAAAGAUAUUUGCUAUAAAGCUCUGAAGUUGCUCUGA